GCUCGGUGUGGGGGUGGGGGGCUCUCUCCCCUCGGGUCCCUUACACUGCUGCCAUGUUGGCUUGAGACGCGCAGACAGAAGGCAUCCGCGAUACUGGAGAUCGAACUCGGGUCCUUGGCGCUUGUGCAGCAGGCGGUGAAACCACUGCGCUAAAUCCACGGCCCCUCAUGUUUUCAUAUAAAGUGAUCACAAGUUCAUCCCCUUGUUGAAGAAAUAGUAAAUUUUCUGGGGAUAUAAAUGGAUGUGUCUCCUACACAAAUUAGAUCUUUUGAGAACCCAUGGAACCUAGUCAAGGCACAUUUAUCAAACUUCGAUUUUGAAGACAGCUCUAAGGAUGAUAGGAGGUUAGAUACCUGGAAGGCCACUUUAUAGAUAAGGAGUAAUAAAGACUGAUUCACCUCUCAUUCAUUCUGAUGUCUUGGGAAGAGAGAACCAACAAGGAAAAAAAUCCUUUGGAACACCACAUCAUCCCACAGGGAAAUUAUGUGCUCCGAGUUGGAAUAACAAGAGAGAAAUGUGCCUAAUGAGAAGAUAUUUAAAGCUGUAAACAUCUCCUUUGUUGUUAUCCAUUAGUGUAUGCAACAGUCAUCCGGAUGGGACUUGGUUUGUUAUUUUGAAUUCCUGCAUCUGGUUGGGAACAGAUGCUUGUCCAAUUCUUUCUGUCUUGUCUGGCAGCACAGUUUCAGUCCCCAUCUUCAUCUAUCCAGCAAGGAAUUUGAACUUAUAUACAGAGACCUUCCAGUGAGAAAACCCAUCCAAGUGAGUGCAACAGCCCAGCAGGUGCUAUAAGGCAGUUGCUUAAUGACUGGGAGACAAGAUCAUUUAGCUAAGGUGAAUGAGACCAAAUGCAACCUCACUAACAGCUGAGAAAUUCUGUGGUUGUUUGCUUGCUUGCUUCAUUAAUUUGAUGAUAUAUUUAUUCACCAUGUUAAAAAGUGAAGGGAACAAUGAACUAAGUAAUACAAAGGUCAUGUGACAGUUAAGCAAUGACAACAAAAGCUAAAUUACAAGAGGGAUUGAGAGGCAUAAAGUGGUUUCAAGUGUCCAUAGACCCUUGUAAUUAAUUAGGUGAAAAAAGGAAUGCAUUAUCUGUGGUAAGACGUAAGUAAAGUGAGUGUAUUUCUUAUUUCUGAGAUGAAACGCUACUUUGACUUGUUUAUUAAUAUCUUACACCUGAUUUCUAUAUUUAUCAGCAUUUCAAUGCAAUUUUCCAGUUUAUUAUUU
ensembl:lncRNA